rnacentral:rRNA from 1 species
GGUAACAGGAAGCAGCUUGCUUCUUUGCUGACGAGUGGCGGACGGGUGAGUAAUGUCUGGGAAACUGCCUGAUGGAGGGGGAUAACUACUGGAAACGGUAGCUAAUACCGCAUAACGUCGCAAGACCAAAGAGGGGGACCUUCGGGCCUCUUGCCAUCGGAUGUGCCCAGAUGGGAUUAGCUAGUAGGUGGGGUAACGGCUCACCUAGGCGACGAUCCCUAGCUGGUCUGAGAGGAUGACCAGCCACACUGGAACUGAGACACGGUCCAGACUCCUACGGGAGGCAGCAGUGGGGAAUAUUGCACAAUGGGCGCAAGCCUGAUGCAGCCAUGCCGCGUGUAUGAAGAAGGCCUUCGGGUUGUAAAGUACUUUCAGCGGGGAGGAAGGUGUUGAGGUUAAUAACCUCAGCAAUUGACGUACCCGCAGAAGAAGCACCGGCAACUCUG